CUACGGGCGGCACCAGUGGGGAAUAUUGGACAAUGGGGGGAACCCUGAUCCAGCAAUGCCGCGUGUGUGAAGAAGGCCUGAGGGUUGUAAAGCACUUUCGUUGGGGAGGAGUAGUGUUAGGUUAAGAGCUAGGCACUAGGACGUUACCUAAAGAAGAAGCACCGGCUAACUCCGUGCCAGCAGCCGCGGUAAUACGGAGGGUGCGAGCGUUAAUCGGAAUUACUGGGCGUAAAGGGUGCGUAGGUUGUUGUAUAAGUUAUCUGUGAAAUACCUGGGCUUAACCUGGGGCUGUCAGAUAAGACUGUAUGACUCGAGUACGGGAGAGGGUAGUGGAAUUUCCGGUGUAGCGGUGAAAUGCGUAGAGAUCGGAAGGAACACCGGUGGCGAAGGCGGCUACCUGGCCUGAUACUGACACUGAGGCACGAAAGCGUGGGGAGCAAACAGGAUUAGAUACCCGUGUAGUC
rnacentral:rRNA from 1 species